GUCUCUCCCAAGGCCUCCAUCUGGAUCUUCAAACCUUCCUUGUAACAAUCAAUUGACCGAUCCAGCUGCCCGAGCAUCGAGUGCGUGUCCCCGAGCUGCAUGUACCCGGAGAACGCAGCAAGCGCGUGAUCUGCACCUCUCGCGACCUCCGGAACCUUGAUCGCCCGCUCCAGCGCCGGGAUCGCCUCCUCGAACCUCCCCAAACUGCAGUAAAUGGCCGCAAGCACAUGCAGGCUCAUGGCCAGAUCCAGGCUCGGCUCGCCGUCGUCCGCGCACACCUCGAACGACUUCGAAGCUCGGAUCGCGUAGUCCAAGGCCUUGACCGGGCCCUCCCCGGACGCGAUCGUGUCCCGGGCGAGCUUCAGCAGGAACGGCCCGAGAUCCGGGUUGUCGAGGGCCGAUUCAUCGAGUUUUGCGUUCUCCGGCGGUGGUUUCUUCUUCCCAGAGAUCCGAUCCGGAGACGGCUUGGUCCGCGAAGUCGACGGCGACGGCGAGGGCGGCCUCCGCUGGAUCGGCGACACCGUUUUGGCCGAUCUCAGGUCGGAUCCUUGGAUCUGGUGGUUUGGUGUGGCCUCCGGGACGGAGAUACGCAGCGGAGGUGCGUCCGGCGGGGUUUUCACUGAGACGAGUCCCGGCAUGGCGGCACCGGCGACGGUGAGAGGCGAUAUUUUGUUUCUUAAUUAAAGACGAAGAUUGAGAAGAUAAAUAGAGAGAGAGAGUUAGGAAGAAAAUGACGCCAUUAAAGAGAGAGGAUAAAGAGAUAAAUUAAGAAGGGAUUAGUACUGGCCACCAUUCUCAUCUGUUGAAAACGGAGUGUGAGCAGAGCGGGUGACCCGACAGAGGAGGAAGAAGAUAAUGUCUGCUUUUCUUUGCAGUGAGUUAGGUGUGGCCAUCUCAUGUGGAGCCCAGCUUCCCCAGGGUUAAUCGAUGACGUGGCAGUUACAUGGUUUGCCUACGUCUGCUCAUCCUUCACUGUCCACGAACACCACGACGCAAGGCGAGAGGCGCUGGAGAUUGGUCAGGAAUGCAGCGACGUCGUUCGUCACGGCUAGGCGCACAAGGGUCGCCAACAAAAUGUGAACAAUCAUGUAACAGAGAGAAGCCCGCCAACGUGAGGCUUUUUCUGAUGGAGUACCUUACUCUGCUUUUGGACCUAGCAAGUAAGGCAGCCGCUGAGGGAGGUGGUUGACGUCGCCGAUGUGAGGCCUCUUUCGCCCUAGAUUCUGGUGACAGGUUUCGACGUUCUGGACAAGGUGGAUGCCUUCGAGAACGAUGGGUGGUGGAUCGGAAGGUGUAACAAAGCAGCUGCAGGUGCCACUGAGACCUGUUACAUCUGCACAGACUCAGAGAGAGAGAGAGAGAGGGUUUAAUGAUCUUUCAUGUUCAAAAAUUUUGAGAGUAUGCAUGAUGAAGCAAGGAUUUAGGAGACUUUAUAUGAGCCAUGGGAUUUGGGAGAUUUUAAUUAAAUAGAGGAUGGGCAUGCAGUAGUUGUAACACCCCAACCCUGAGGGGCCUGAGAUAUUAACUUUUUACUUAGUGAUUUACAACGGAAGUAAAUAAAACUCAAUUGUUAUUAAA